UACGGAGGGAUCUAGCGUUAUUCGGAAUAACUGGGCGUAAAGCGAGCGUAGGCGGCUAAGCAAGUCAGGCGUGCAAGCCCGUGGCUCAACCACGGAAUUGCGUUUGAAACUGCUUAGCUUGAGUACAGGAGAGGAAAGCGGAAUUCCCAGUGUAGCGGUGAAAUGCAUUGAUAUUGGGAAGAACAUCUGUGGCGAAGGCGGCUUUCUGGUCUGUUACUGACGCUGAGAUACGAAAGCCAGGGGAGCGAACGGG
rnacentral:rRNA from 1 species